UAAUCGGGGUGCCUUUUCGGAAGGCUGAGAUUACACCCUUUGAACUUGAUGCGGCUUGUACCGCCGAAAGGAAUGGUU
rnacentral:ncRNA from 1 species